rnacentral:rRNA from 1 species
UACAGAGGUGGCAAGCGUUGUUCGGAAUUACUGGGCGUAAAGGGCGCGUAGGCGGUUCGAUAAGUCCUGUGUGAAAUCCCUCGGCUCAACUGAGGAACUGCACGGGAGACUGUCGGGCUUGAGUUCGGGAGAGGGAAGCGGAAUUCCGGGUGUAGCGGUGAAAUGCGUAGAUAUCAUGAGGAACACCAAUUGCGAAGGCAGCUCGCUGGGACGUAACUGACGCUGAGACGCGAAAGCGUGGGGAGCAAACAGG